GCCGGGCGCGGUGGCGCGCACCUGUAGUCCCAGCUACUCGGGAGGCUGAGGCUGGAGGAUCGCUUGAGCCCAGGAGUUCUGGGCUGCAGUGCGCUAUGCCGAUCGGGUGUCUGCACUAAGUUCAGCAUCAAUAUGGUGACCCUCCGGGAGCGGGGGACCACCAGGUUGCCUAAGGAGGGGUGAACCAGCCCAGGUCGGAAACGGAGCAGGUCAAAAUGCUCACCCAAUUAAGAGUUUACCUAUAACGUGUCUACAUUUUUUUGAAGACAUUCCAAACCUUAA
rnacentral:SRP_RNA from 1 species